rnacentral:lncRNA from 1 species
UACGCGACCAGGACCGAUGACUUAAAGUGAAUAGUAACUCCGGUUUUUCGGAGAAGCCACGGAGUAGAGUUGGCUUCGGCGCGUAUCGGACUCUGUUCAUAGCUGUCCAAUAGGUCGUUUCGAUCGGUUCCACUAUUCCGAACCCAAUGGCACUGACGGAAUUGGGUUCUGAUGCACGAUUUUCGAGAAAAAGGGAUUUGAGUGGAUUUACAUAUAUUUGGUAUAUAUAUGUGUUUUAUGGUGGAAGCAAUGAGGGUGGGUUUCGUCGCAAAUCGACAA